GAAGUGCGAACCAAGCAGUCACCACGGUGGCAUGAGCCUUGGAGCGGACGGCCGCAAGACCGUCCUGCA
rnacentral:sRNA from 1 species